rnacentral:sRNA from 1 species
AAGAGCAAGGAGUGUCGAGAAUGGCGACCAAGCGGCUCGCGCGGUACUGGAGGGGGUUCCGGGUCGGGGGCGGGUAACUCCGGGUCCGGCGCUGGCGUUGGCGGCAGAGCAGGGCACAGCAGGUGGCAUCUGCGGUGAGGGCCUCCAUUCCCCGCAGCCCCAGCGUCUGCGACCUGCCCUCUCUGGCAUGGCUGGAAAGGAGCUUCCCUGGACCUUGGUCUUCAGCCUUGGGCCACCUUCUGCCUGAGGGUGACAGGAGCCCGAGGCCGACGAACCCUGGGGUCUUGACUGUGUGGCCUUGAGCCAGUGCCUGCCCAUUUUAGGCCUUGGGAAACGACUGGACGUGACAGUGCCCUGCAGACUGGUUGGAGGUCUCAGGCAGGCCACACACUGAAUCCGUCAAGGUGUUCAACCUGUUUGAAAUGCUCGGUGCUGCAGCUUGGAUUAAUUAGGAGAAAGUCAAUUGCACCAGCAAAUGGAAAUCUAGGAAGAAGGAAAUCCAAGCAGUUGUUUGACUACUUAAUUGUCAUUGAUUUUGAAUCGACAUGCUG